GGACUACACGGGUAUCUAAUCCUGUUCGCUCCCCACGCUUUCGUGUCUCAGUGUCAAGGGUGGCCCAGCAAGCUGCCUUCGCCAUUGGUGUUCCUACCGAUCUCUACGCAUUUCACUGCUACACCGGUAAUUCCACUUGCCUCUGCCAUCUUCUAGACUUGCAGUCUGAGAAACAGUCCAGACGGUUGAGCCGCCGGAUUUCGCCUCUCACUUACAAAUCCACCUACACACGCUUUACGCCCAGUGAUUCCGGAUAACGCUUGAACCCUACGUAUUACCGCGGCUGCUGGCAC
rnacentral:rRNA from 1 species